UUGGAGGGCAAGUCUGGUGCCAGCAGCCGCGGUAAUUCCAGCUCCAAUAGCGUAUAUUAAAGUUGUUGCAGUUAAAAAGCUCGUAGUUGAAUUUCGGGAUCAAUGCGUCGGUCGUGCCUUCGGUACGUACUAGCGUCAUUGAUUCCUCCCUUCUGAAGAACCGUGAUGUCAUUAAUUUGGUGUUACGGGGAAUCAGGACUGUUACCUUGAAAAAAUUAGAGUGUUUAAAGCAGGCUAACGCUUGAAUACAUUAGCAUGGAAUAAUGAAAUAGGACGUUCGAACCUAUUUUGUUGGUUUCUAGGAUCGACGUAAUGGUUAAUAGGGAUGGUUGGGGGCAUUAGUAUUCAAUUGUCAGAGGUGAAAUUCUUGGAUUUAUUGAAGACUAACUACUGCGAAAGCAUUUGCCAAGGACGUUUUCAUUAAUCAAGAACGAAAGUUAGGGGAUCGAAGACGAUCAGGUACCGUCGUAGUCUUAACCAUAAACUAUGCCGACUAGGGAUCGGAUGAUGUUAAUUUUUUAAUGACUCAUUCGGCACCUUACGGAAAC
rnacentral:rRNA from 1 species